UACGGGGGGAGCAAGCGUUGUUCGGAUUUACUGGGCGUAAAGGGCGCGUAGGCGGCCACCGCAAGUCGGUUGUGAAAUCUCUGGGCUUAACUCAGAACGGUCAACUGAUACUGUCGGGCUAGAGUGCAGAAGGGGCAACUGGAAUUCUCGGUGUAGCGGUGAAAUGCGUAGAUAUCGAGAGGAACACCUGCGGCGAAGGCGGGUUGCUGGGCUGACACUGACGCUGAGGCGCGAAAGCUAGGGGAGCAAACGGG
rnacentral:rRNA from 1 species